ensembl:miRNA MIR9808 microRNA mir-9808
UGCAGGUGUUAGUCUUCCUCUCCUUUUGUACCUGUCAACAAGUUUUGACUCCUUGCAGGGUGUCGGAUACUUACACCUGAU